rnacentral:rRNA from 1 species
UACGAAGGGGGCUAGCGUUGUUCGGAAUUACUGGGCGUAAAGCGCACGUAGGCGGGUCGUUAAGUCAGGGGUGAAAUCCCGGAGCUCAACUCCGGAACUGCCUUUGAUACUGGCGAUCUAGAGAUCGGAAGAGGUGAGUGGAAUUCCCAGUGUAGAGGUGAAAUUCGUAGAUAUUGGGAAGAACACCAGUGGCGAAGGCGGCUCACUGGUCCGAUACUGACGCUGAGGUGCGAAAGCGUGGGGAGCAAACAGG